rnacentral:rRNA from 1 species
GACGAACGCUGGCGGCGUGCCUAAUACAUGCAAGUCGAACGCUGAAGGAGGAGCUUGCUUCUCCGGAUGAGUUGCGAACGGGUGAGUAACGCGUAGGUAACCUGCCUGGUAGCGGGGGAUAACUAUUGGAAACGAUAGCUAAUACCGCAUAACAGUAGAUAUUGCAUGAUAUCUGCUUGAAAGGUGCAAUUGCAUCACUACCAGAUGGACCUGCGUUGUAUUAGCUAGUUGGUGAGGUAACGGCUCACCAAGGCGACGAUACAUAGCCGACCUGAGAGGGUGAUCGGCCACACUGGGACUGAGACACGGCCCAGACUCCUACGGGAGGCAGCGGUAGGGAAUCUUCGGCAAUGGACGGAAGUCUGACCGAGCAACGCCGCGUGAGUGAAGAAGGUUUUCGGAUCGUAAAGCUCUGUUGUAAGAGAAGAACGAGUGUGAGAGUGGAAAGUUCACACUGUGACGGUAUCUUACCAGAAAGGGACGGCUAACUACGUG